UCUCUCUACCUCUCUCUCUCUGUCUGUCUCUACUGCCCUACCAACCUCUCUCUCUCUACCUCUCUCUCUCUGUCUCUCUCUCUGUCUGCCUCUACCGCCCUACCAACCUCUCUCUCUCUACCUCUCUCUCUCUCUGUCUCUCUCUCUGUCUGUCUUUCUCUCUCAACUCUUAUGUUCCCCUCGAUAUCUACACAUUUCCCUCUUCCUUAGAAAUUAGAUUUCUCUCUCACGUGGCACACACAGAGACAUACUUGCUCACGCAUGAAUGUCAGAAGGUUCAGAUAUUAAUGAGAGUGCUGCCUUGUCCCAUGCUGUUAGGAGUCCUAGCCUCCUUGCAUAAAUCCUUGUUUUUCUUUCCUACUCUACGGUGGAGAUGUGUGGAGAUUUGUUUUGUUUUUUUACAGCUAUUCCUCAGUUUCACUAAGCAAGCUGGGGUUGCUCAAGACCCAAUAUGACUGGUUUUGUAUGUGGGAACCACAUUUAGUCAGAGGAAACUGCAAAACACUUUUUAAAUAGUUCAAAGGUUAAGAUGCUUGUCCUCGAAGUCGACAGGAGGUCAAGGAGCCUCAGUAACCAUAAAUGGAUGGAAUCAUAAUGCAUAAAUUCCAUUAAGUAGACCUUUUUAGAUGUGAAACAACAGAAUGCUAUCUUCUAGCCAGCAGGGUGAGGUUAGGUAUCCAUACCGGAUCUGCCUAGUUCAGACCGGGAGAUGGUGGGGAGCAUCACCAACGAAGAGGCGAGAUGAGGGAGUGCACCAACCUGGAAUAGCACACUUGACAUUUUCCAAACACUUCUUUAUCUGGAUGUAUUCCACCUGAUCUGGGGGGUUACCAAGGAACUGGGAAACACACUCUGAGGGGCGGUUGGAGAGCGGACACCUGUUAGCUGAUUGUGUUUUAGACAGAUGCAGCGAAGGCCUUUUCAGACUGCUGAUGUCUAAUGGCUUCCUGUAGGUCUUUGUUUGCGUUUGUUUGGGAAGGGCACGAGGUGGGCACUGCCAAAUCAAAUGUCCAACAACACCAUGGCAGUGGUAGUUCUGAUAUGCUUCCUGUAAGUGCUUGUUUUAUUGUCUUGUGUGUGUGUGUGUGUUUGUGUAUGUGCGUGUGUGUGCGUGUGCGUGUGCGUGUGUGUGUGUGUGUGUGUGUGUGUGUGUGUGUGUGUGUGUGUGUGUGUGUUGGGUGUUGUUUUUCCCAGGGGAUAAGCACACUAUCCUUCAAUCUGUCGUUCGGCGUAUGGGUUCCUAUCGCGGACUACUUCCUACCGCUUGGUGAUUGGCUUGUUAUUUUUAGUCCGGAGAGCUGAGUGAGAUUGAAGAUGCAUUUGGACUGGUCAUCUGUUGUUCUUCUGCGUUGCUGUGUAACGUGCAACGCUGCUCAUCCAGCACUUCAGACUGACUCCCAUUUACGUCAUGUCAAAAUUCACUUUUUGUUUACAAUAUUUGGUUAUUUUGAGAGGAAUGCGUAGCCUACAACUCAACUCCUCUUUGUGGCUGGAGAUGUUUGCGAAACCAGGCAAUAGUCUUGCCAGGUGGAAUGAGACAACCAUUCGCAAAUGAGGGAAGAGGGGGCCAACAGGUCAAUGGGAAAGGAGGACAGCGUCCGGUUGAGAGUGACAGCUCCUUCAGAGAAACCCCUUCACCGCCAAAUACAUCUUGAUAAGCACAUUAGCUCGGCAAACUGCUCAUAAUGUCACUCUUAGAUGUCUUCUUAUUCUUUCUCGAAAAGCAAUUAUCUAGUUAAGCCAAGUUCUCGCUGGCCAUGAGGACGAGGGGAUGCUUUUGACGGCGGCUGUUAAAGCAACACGGAGGGGGGGACUCCGUAAGUCUGGUACAGGUUGUGUCAACACUGGUGUUUGUCACAGAAGGCAGUGGAGUCAGUCCAAGUGUCUAACCCUACAGCCC